UACGAAGGGGGCUAGCGUUGUUCGGAAUCACUGGGCGUAAAGGGCGCGUAGGCGGCCUGAUAAGUCGGGGGUGAAAGCCUGUGGCUCAACCACAGAAUUGCCUUCGAUACUGUUAGGCUUGAGACCGGAAGAGGUAAGUGGAACUGCGAGUGUAGAGGUGAAAUUCGUAGAUAUUCGCAAGAACACCAGUGGCGAAGGCGGCUGACUGGUCCGGUUCUGACGCUGAGGCGCGAAAGCGUGGGGAGCAAACAGG
rnacentral:rRNA from 1 species